rnacentral:tRNA from 1 species
ACCUGGCUGGCUCAGUUGGUUGAGCAUGCGACUCUUGACCUCAGGGUCAUGAAUUUAAAUUCCAUGUUAGGUG